rnacentral:rRNA from 1 species
AGUGAACGCUGGCGGUAGGCCUAACACAUGCAAGUCGAACGGCAGCACAGUAAGAGCUUGCUCUUACGGGUGGCGAGUGGCGGACGGGUGAGGGAUACAUCGGAAUCUACUUUUUCGUGGGGGAUAACGUAGGGAAACUUACGCUAAUACCGCAUACGACCUACGGGUGAAAGCAGGGGAUCUUCGGACCUUGCGCGAUUGAAUGAGCCGAUGUCGGAUUAGCUAGUUGGCGGGGUAAAGGCCCACCAAGGCGACGAUCCGUAGCUGAUCUGAGAGGAUGAUCAGCCACACUGGAACUGAGACACGGUCCAGACUCCUACGGGAGGCAGCAGUGGGGAAUAUUGGACAAUGGGCGCAAGCCUGAUCCAGCCAUACCGCGUGGGUGAAGAAGGCCUUCGGGUUGUAAAGCCCUUUUGUUGGGAAAGAAAAGCAGCAGGUUAAUACCCCGCUGUUCUGACGGUACCCAAAGAAUAAGCACCGGCUAACUUCGUG